rnacentral:rRNA from 1 species
AGAGUUUGAUCAUGGCUCAGGACGAACGCUGGCGGCGUGCUUAACACAUGCAAGUCGAACGAGGUCCAUGGAGCUUGCUCCGGAAGACCUAGUGGCGAACGGGUGCGUAACACGUGAGAAACCUGCCCCAGACUUGGGAAUAACAGUCGGAAACGACUGCUAAUACCGAAUAUCUUCACACCGUCGCAUGGCGGAGUGAAGAAAGCUUUUGCGGUUUGGGAGGGUCUCGCGGCCUAUCAGCUAGUUGGUGAGGUAACGGCUCACCAAGGCAUCGACGGGUAGCUGGUCUGAGAGGAUGAUCAGCCACACUGGGACUGAGACACGGCCCAGACUCCUACGGGAGGCAGCAGUGGGGAAUAUUGCACAAUGGGCGAAAGCCUGAUGCAGCAACGCCGCGUGCGGGAAGAAGGCCUUAGGGUUGUAAACCGCUUUCAGCAGGGAAGAAAAUGACGGUACCUGCAGAAGAAGGUGCGGCCAACUACGUGCCAGCAGCCGCGGUGACACGUAGGCACCAAGCGUUGUCCGGAUUUAUUGGGCGUAAAGAGCUCGUAGGCGGUUUAGUAAGUCGGGUGUGAAAACUCUGGGCUCAACCCAGAGACGCCACCCGAUACUGCUAUGACUUGAGUACGGUAGGGGAGCGGGGAAUUCCUGGUGUAGCGGUGAAAUGCGCAGAUAUCAGGAGGAACACCAGUGGCGAAGGC